rnacentral:rRNA from 1 species
UACGUAGGUGGCAAGCGUUGUUCGGAUUCAUUGGGCGUAAAGGGUGUGUAGGUGGCGCGCUAAGUCGGGUGUGAAAUUUCGGAGCUUAACUCCGAAACUGCAUUCGAUACUGGCGUGCUUGAGGACUGGAGAGGAGACUGGAAUUCAUGGUGUAGCAGUGAAAUGCGUAGAGAUCAUGAGGAAGACCAGUGGCGAAGGCGGGUCUCUGGACAGUUCCUGACACUGAGGCACGAAGGCCAGGGGAGCAAACGGG